ACUCUGGUAUUGAUUGGUGCUUGCAUCAUGAUUUACAUUUGAGUGAGUGGCGAACUGGUGAGUAACACGUGGGAAACCUGCCCAGAAGCGGGGGAUAACACCUGGAAACAGAUGCUAAUACCGCAUAACAACUUGGACCGCAUGGUCCGAGUUUGAAAGAUGGCUUCGGCUAUCACUUUUGGAUGGUCCCGCGGCGUAUUAGCUAGAUGGUGGGGUAACGGCUCACCAUGGCAAUGAUACGUAGCCGACCUGAGAGGGUAAUCGGCCACAUUGGGACUGAGACACGGCCCAAACUCCUACGGGAGGCAGCAGUAGGGAAUCUUCCACAAUGGACGAAAGUCUGAUGGAGCAACGCCGCGUGAGUGAAGAAGGGUUUCGGCUCGUAAAACUCUGUUGUUAAAGAAGAACAUAUCUGAGAGUAACUGUUCAGGUAUUGACGGUAUUUAACCAGAAAGCCACGGCUAACUACGUGCCAGCAGCCGCGGUAAUACGUAGGUGGCAAGCGUUGUCCGGAUUUAUUGGGCGUAAAGCGAGCGCAGGCGGUUUUUUAAGUCUGAUGUGAAAGCCUUCGGCUCAACCGAAGAAGUGCAUCGGAAACUGGGAAACUUGAGUGCAGAAGAGGACAGUGGAACUCCAUGUGUAGCGGUGAAAUGCGUAGAUAUAUGGAAGAACACCAGUGGCGAAGGCGGCUGUCUGGUCUGUAACUGACGCUGAGGCUCGAAAGUAUGGGUAGCAAACAGGAUUAGAUACCCUGGUAGUCCAUACCGUAAACGAUGAAUGCUAAGUGUUUGAAGGGUUUCCGCCCUUCAGUGCUGCAGCUAACGCAUUAAGCAUUCCGCCUGGGGGAGUACGGCCGCAAGGCUGAAACUCAAAGGAAUUGACGGGGGCCCGCACAAGCGGUGGAGCAUGUGGUUUAAUUCGAAGCUACGCGAAGAACCUUACCAGGUCUUGACAUACUAUGCAAAUCUAAGAGAUUAGAC
rnacentral:rRNA from 2 species